AGAGUUUGAUCCUGGCUCAGAACGAACGCUGGCGGCGUGGAUUAGGCAUGCAAGUCGAACGCGAACGUCACCUUCGGGUGGCUAGUAGAGUGGCGAACGGGUGAGUAACGCGUGAGAAACCUGCCUAGAAGUGGGGGAUAACACUCCCAACGGGGUGCUAAUACCGCAUGUGAUGUGAGUGUCUCCUGGCACACACAGGAAAGAUGGCCUCUGCUUGCAAGCUAUCGCUUCUAGAUGGUCUCGCGUCCGAUUAGCUUGUUGGUGAGGUAACGGCCCACCAAGGCGACGAUCGGUAGCUGGUCUGAGAGGAUGGUCAGCCACACUGGGACUGAGAUACGGCCCAGACUCCUACGGGAGGCAGCAGUCGAGAGGCUUUGUCAAUGGGGGAAACCCUGAACAAGCGACGCCGCGUGGGGGAUGACGGCCUUUGGGUUGUAAACCCCUUUCAGCAGGGACGAAUGUUAUGUGGGUGAAUAAUCCACGUAGUUGACGGUACCCGCAGAAGAAGCUCCGGCUAACUCCGUGCCAGCAGCCGCGGUAAUACGGGGGGAGCGAGCGUUGUUCGGAAUCACUGGGCGUAAAGGGCGUGUAGGCGGUUCGGUAAGUGAGAUGUGAAAGCCCCCGGCUCACCCGGGGAUGUGCAUUUCAUACUGCCGGACUUGAGUGCGGAAGAGGAUGGGGGAAUUCCUGGUUUAGCGGUGAAAUGCGUAGAUAUCAGGAGGAACACCGGUGGCGAAGGCGCCCAUCUGGUCCGUUACUGACGCUGAUGCGCGAAAGCUAGGGGAGCGAACGGGAUUAGAUACCCCGGUAGUCCUAGCCGUAAACGGUGGGCACUAGGUGUUGGAGGCAUCGACCCUUCCAGUGCCGCAGCUAACGCAUUAAGUGCCCCGCCUGGGGAGUACGGUCGCAAGACUGAAACUCAAAGGAAUUGACGGGGGCCCGCACAAGCGGUGAGCAUGUGGUUCAAUUCGACGCAACGCGAAGAACCUUACCCAGGCUUGACAUGCACUGGACCGGUGUAGAAACACACCUUCCCUUCGGGGCUAGUGCACAGGUGCUGCAUGGCUGUCGUCAGCUCGUGUCGUGAGAUGUUGGGUUAAGUCCCGCAACGAGCGCAACCCUUGCCCUUAGUUGCUAACGAAUAAAGUCGAGCACUCUAGGGGGACUGCCGGCGGUAAGCCGGAGGAAGGUGGGGACGACGUCAAGUCCUCAUGGCCCUUACGCCUGGGGCUACACACGUGCUACAAUGACCGACACAGAGGGCUGCGAUACCGCGAGGUGGAGCCAAUCCCAAAAAGUCGGCCUCAGUUCGGAUUGCAGUCUGCAACUCGACUGCAUGAAGGUGGAAUCGCUAGUAAUCGCUGAUCAGCAGGCAGCGGUGAAUACGUUCCCGGGCCUUGUACACACCGCCCGUCAAGCCACGAAAGUUGGCAGUACCCGAAGUCGCCGUGGUAACCCGCAAGGGAGCUAGGCGCCUAAGGUAAGGCUAGCGAUUGGGGCUAAGUCGUAACAAGGUA
rnacentral:rRNA from 1 species